rnacentral:piRNA from 1 species
UGAGUGACCUCCUAGUGCAUCCCAA